GUGAGUAAUGUCUGGGAAACUGCCUGAUGGAGGGGGAUAACUACUGGAAACGGUAGCUAAUACCGCAUAACGUCGCAAGACCAAAGAGGGGGACCUUCGGGCCUCUUGCCAUCGGAUGUGCCCAGAUGGGAUUAGCUAGUUGGUGGGGUAACGGCUCACCUAGGCGACGAUCCCUAGCUGGUCUGAGAGGAUGACCAGCCACACUGGAACUGAGACACGGUCCAGACUCCUACGGGAGGCAGCAGUGGGGAAUAUUGCACAAUGGGCGCAAGCCUGAUGCAGCCAUGCCGCGUGUAUGAAGAAGGCCUUCGGGUUGUAAAGUACUUUCAGCGGGGAGGAAGGGAGUAAAGUUAAUACCUUUGCUCAUUGACGUUACCCGCAGAAGAAGCACCGGCUAACUCCGUGCCAGCAGCCGCGGUAAUACGGAGGGUGCAAGCGUUAAUCGGAAUUACUGGGCGUAAAGCGCACGCAGGCGGUUUGUUAAGUCAGAUGU
rnacentral:rRNA from 1 species